UUCUUUUUCCACCGGAGCUUGCUCCACCGGAAAAAGAAGAGUGGCGAACGGGUGAGUAACACGUGGGUAACCUGCCCAUCAGAAGGGGAUAACACUUGGAAACAGGUGCUAAUACCGUAUAACAAUCGAAACCGCAUGGUUUUGAUUUGAAAGGCGCUUUCGGGUGUCRCUGAUGGAUGGACCCGCGGUGCAUUAGCUAGUUGGUGAGGUAACGGCUCACCAAGGCCACGAUGCAUAGCCGACCUGAGAGGGUGAUCGGCCACAUUGGGACUGAGACACGGCCCAAACUCCUACGGGAGGCAGCAGUAGGGAAUCUUCGGCAAUGGACGAAAGUCUGACCGAGCAACGCCGCGUGAGUGAAGAAGGUUUUCGGAUCGUAAAACUCUGUUGUUAGAGAAGAACAAGGAUGAGAGUAACUGUUCAUCCCUUGACGGUAUCUAACCAGAAAGCCACGGCUAACUACGUGCCAGCAGCCGCGGUAAUACGUAGGUGGCAAGCGUUGUCCGGAUUUAUUGGGCGUAAAGCGAGCGCAGGCGGUUUCUUAAGUCUGAUGUGAAAGCCCCCGGCUCAACCGGGGAGGGUCAUUGGAAACUGGGAGACUUGAGUGCAGAAGAGGAGAGUGGAAUUCCAUGUGUAGCGGUGAAAUGCGUAGAUAUAUGGAGGAACACCAGUGGCGAAGGCGGCUCUCUGGUCUGUAACUGACGCUGAGGCUCGAAAGCGUGGGGAGCAAACAGGAUUAGAUACCCUGGUAGUCCACGCCGUAAACGAUGAGUGCUAAGUGUUGGAGGGUUUCCGCCCUUCAGUGCUGCAGCUAACGCAUUAAGCACUCCGCCUGGGGGAGUACGACCGCAAGGUUGAAACUCAAAGGAAUUGACGGGGGCCCGCACAAGCGGUGGAGCAUGUGGUUUAAUUCGAAGCAACGCGAAGAAACCUUACCAGGUCUUGACAUCCUUUUGACCACUCUGGAGAUAGAGCUUCCCCCUUCGGGGGGCAAAGUGACCGGUKGGUGCAAGGGUUGUCCUUCAGCCUCGU
rnacentral:rRNA from 1 species